GAAGGCACAAAUUUAACGUGGUUCGGUCAAGGAGACAUACGUCCACAAGCGGAGUGAAGCAAUUUCACUAUACUAAAAAGAGUAUAAAAGAGAGUACAAAAUUAGAGUAAAUAGUCUAAUAAUCCCAAAUACCCCAAGAGAAUAAUCUCAUAAGAUCACUCCAAAGAAAAGGUUCACACAAGUGUUUCCCAGCACUUACUUUCUCACAAUAUAAUCUUAAUUACUAAAGGAGGAGGAGAAGAAACAAGAAAUGAAUAAAUC
rnacentral:lncRNA from 1 species